GACGAACGCUGGCGGCGUGCCUAACACACGCAAGUCGAACGAGGUCCAUGCGGUGGCAACACCGCGGACGACCUAGUGGCGAACGGGUGAGUAACACGUGAGGAACUUGCCCCGGAGACCGGAAUAACCCUCCGAAAGGGGGUCUAAUACCGGAUACCUCCACCUGAUCGCAUGGUCGGGUGAAGAAGUGGAUCCCGCUCCGGGAGAGCCUCGCGGCCUAUCAGCUUGUUGGUGGGGUAACGGCCCACCAAGGCGUCGACGGGUAGCUGGUCUNAGAGGACGAUCAGCCACACUGGGACUGAGACACGGCCCAGACUCCUACGGGAGGCAGCAGUGGGGAAUCUUGCGCAAUGGGCGAAAGCCUGACGCAGGCAACAGCCGCGUGCGGGAUGAAGGCCUUCGGGUUGUAAACCGCUUCGUGGGACAAACCAGAUCGGNACCGACAGAGAAGCCCCGGCCAACCUACGUGCCAGCAGCCGCGGUAACACGUA
rnacentral:rRNA from 1 species